UUUAAAUAGCUGCAGUAUUUUAACUGUACAAAGGUAGCGUAGUAAUUAGUCUUUUAAUUGAGGUCUUGUAUGAAUGGUUUGACAAGAAGAAAACUUUAUUGAGUUAAUUGUAUUAAUUUUAUUUUUUAGUUAAAAAGCUAAAAUUUUUAAAUGGGACGAUAAGACCCUAUAGAUCUUUAAAUUUUUAUUAUUUAAAUCAAUUUAAGGUUAUUUAAAUUUUAUUUGUAACAAAUUUUUUGUUGGGGUGACACAUAAAAUUUUAAAACUUUAAUGGUUUUUUUACAUAGAUUUAUGGAUUUUUGAACCCUAAUUUUGGGUUAUUAAAAUUAGAUACCUUAGGGAUAACAGCGUAAUAAAUUUGUAUAGUUCUCAUAGAUAAAUUUGUUUACGACCUCGAUGUUGAAUUAAUCUAGAGUUUUGGGGCAGAAAUUAGAAUUUUAGGUCUGUUCGACCUUUAAAAGAUUACA
rnacentral:rRNA from 1 species